GACGAACGCUGGCGGCGUGCUUAACACAUGCAAGUCGAACGGUGAAGCACCUUCCUUUUGGUGGGCGUGGAUGAGUGGCGAACGGGUGAGUAACACGUGAGUAACCUGCCCCCUUCUUCUGGAUAACCGCAUGAAAGUGUGGCUAAUACGGGAUAUUCUGGGUCUGUCGCAUGGCGGGCCGGGGAAAGAUAUUGUUUCGGUGGGGGAUGGGCUCGCGGUCUAUCAGCGUGUUGGUGGGGUGAUGGCCUACCAAGGCGGUGACGGGUAGCCGGCCUGGGAGGGUGGACGGCCACACAGGGACUGAGACACGGCCGAGACUCAUACGCGGGGCAGAAGUGGGGAAUAUUGCACAGUGGGGGCAAGCCUGAUGCAGCGACGCCGCGUGAGGGAUGGAGGCCUUCGGGUUGUAAACCUCUUUGGCCAGUGAAGCAGGCCUGUCCCUUUUGUAGGUGGGUUGACGGUAGCUGGAUAAGAAGCGCCGGCUAACUACGUG
rnacentral:rRNA from 1 species